CAAAAAGUAUCCAGUGCAAGUUUCAAUUUCAGUUAGUUUUUAUUUUUAAACUUUUCAAAUCGCUUUUCGUAUAUAUAUCACAUGAUUAUAUGUUCAAGUUCAACAAGUUCUUCUAAAGAAGCAUUAACAUUACACAAUUGACGAAGAGUUUCUUGCGUCGGAACGAUGAGGUGUCGAGGACCUUGGCGGAAGACAUGGCGGAGCACGGACUUUCGAAAUCGUGUACCUGAACGUACCUGCCCAUCGAAUCCACACUGAAAGCGGAUAGGUUAUAUUCUAGUCCAUGGGUCCAGCGGGUCCUCGCCGGAAAGGAAGUCGGAGGCAUAGCAAUCACGAUUGGCAAUGGGUGUGGAUCCUACCAGCUGGAACUCCACCCGAGGCACCAAAGGCACUCCUUUUGACGAAGGCGAAGAGGGAAC